CACUUAAAGGGGCAGGAGGACUAUUGUCAAGACUUCUUAACAUGUGAAAUCAAGUUGGCUGGAGACAGGACAACCCAGGUACAGUUUAGUCAGCCAGCCCAGUUCAGGGCCAUCCUUAAUGAGAGCAGCUAUGCUUUGGAGGUUUUUCUGCAAAAUGGGAGCACAACAUUACAUUUUGGUGAAGUGACCUACGUUCUCAGCGAGGUAGGGAAGGCACUCCUGGAAUCACAGAAUGAUGGAUAUGUGUCUGACUAUCCAGGUAGUGGAUUUCGCUAAGGGCAAACACGCAUGGCCAGGUUGAACCAUGACACAAGUGUACAUCGGUACAGAGGCUUUAUUUUUUAGAUGCUACCAUUCUUUUGCACCUGCUAGCUCAUUCGUGCCUCCUGACCACGCUGCAAUGGUGUGACAGGACAUCCCAUCUAUCAGGGAAGAAACGAGACACAUGGAAGUUAAAUCGAUUUUGGUCUUCGCAAAGAGUUUCUCCUUCCUGAGGAAAUGUAUCCUGUUUGCUGUGUGUUCUAAGGCAAAGUUUGUGCAAGUGAUGACACCCAAGACAGGCCUGAUGUCCCCCAAACAAAAGGCCAGGAGCCUCUCAUCCUUGUGUCCCUGGAGUGUCAUCGGAACAGCCUCCUUUAGGCUAUGCUCUUGCCCUGGCCUGCCCUGCUCCAAACGGGCCCCUAGGGGUAGUUUCCUGACCUGUGUUCACAUCCCCUCCUGCUUCUUAAACCUUCCAGCACGUGCUCCAACCAGCAGCCUUGAGGGCAAGGGCCUCAGGUUGGCCUUCGGAGCGUCAUAGUUUGGAACAUGUACUAGCUACCAGCACACGUCUGCCUCGUCCAGGCAACCAAAGCUGUAGCCACAAGGCUUUAUCAUUCCUCAUGUGUGUCACUCUCCUUGCCGCCCCUGCCAGACCAUUGUACGCUCUGUUCCCUCCACGAAGAAGCCAUUAAUCUCACUUCCAACCUCACCGCAACCUGAGGAGACAGCCAUCAUGGCACAGAGUUUAAGACAGAAGGCUCUGGAGUCAGACUGUCCAGGGUCACGUAGGAGUCAGGGGCUUAGAAGGCCUGUGCUUGGCCUAACAGUCUGCCGCCGCCAUCUUGAAAUUCUUAGCCAUUUCGACAAGGGCACUGGGCUCACGAACUACGUAUGUUUCCUGAUUCGAAUACUGACAGGCGGUGUAACUAAAAUACAGAGAAUUGCGAAGGGCUGAGAACAGGGUGGAUGACACUGGGAGUGACUAACAAAUGGGACUUACCAUUAUCCUCAUGUCACACAUGAAGAAACAGAGGCCCAGGGAGUUGCAGAGGGCCCCAGCGCUGUUACGUGAUAGACGGUGAUUUCGCUAAACCCACUGAACCUCUGGUCAAUUAAUCUAUGGAAAAGGAGGCAAAAAUCUACAAGGCCGAGACGUUGGUCUACUCAAUAAGCGGUGCUGGGAAAACGGGGCAGCUACAUGCGAAAGGAUGAACUUAGAACAUUCUCUAACAGCAUAUGCACAGCAAUAAACUCAAAAUGGA